rnacentral:rRNA from 1 species
CGGACGGGUGAGUAACGCGUGAGAAUCUGGCUUCAGGUCUGGGACAACCACUGGAAACGGUGGCUAAUACCGGAUGUGCCGAGAGGUGAAAGGUUAACUGCCUGAAGAUGAGCUCGCGUCUGAUUAGCUAGUUGGUAGUGUAAUGGACUACCAAGGCGACGAUCAGUAGCUGGUCUGAGAGGACGAUCAGCCACACUGGGACUGAGACACGGCCCAGACUCCUACGGGAGGCAGCAGUGGGGAAUUUUCCGCAAUGGGUGAAAGCCUGACGGAGCAAUACCGCGUGAGGGAGGAAGGCUCUUGGGUCGUAAACCUCUCUUCUCAGGGAAGAACACAAUGACGGUACCUGAGGAAUAAGCAUCGGCUAACUCCGUGCCAGCAGCCGCGGUAAUACGGAGGAUGCAAGCGUUAUCCGGAAUGAUUGGGCGUAAAGCGUCCGCAGGUGGCGAUGUAAGUCUGCUGUUAAAGCGUCUAGCUCAACUAGAUAAAAGCAGUGGAAACUACAUAGCUAGAGUACGUUCGGGGCAGAGGGAAUUCCUGGUGUAGCGGUGAAAUGCGUAGAGAUCAGGAAGAACACCAGUGGCGAAGGCGCUCUGCUAGGCCGUAACUGACACUGAGGGACGAAAGCUAGGGGAGCGAAUGGGAUUAGAUACCCCAGUAGUC